UUAUUUUGUACGAACAAAAUCGUUUUCUCUCUCUCUGCUUCUGUCUCUCUCACGCGACAUUGGAAAAAAAAAAUUGCUCGAUCAUUGAUAAUCCGAUGAGUUGACGCCGGUGAUUGUUUGUCUUUUGAUGUGUUAUCUGAGGCUUCCAACGCCGGAUUCAUCAAGGCAACAGGUGCUUCACAUCGGCGGAAGUUGGCCGAAAUCGGAAAAUAGCAAAUCGGAUUCGAAGAGUAAUCGCCGACGCCUUCCCCAAGUUAGGUAUGAAUCAAUUCUCGUCAUUAUAUCGUGAUUAGAUGUUGUAUUUGGUGGUUUAUUAGGGUUGUGAGUUAAGGAGAAACCUUAUACAUGAUUCUUCAGUUUAUAAAUUUGACAAUUAGUCGUAGAUUUGGAUUUUGCUCUAUAAUGGUAUUGGUUGGUUUGUUCUGUUUUUAUCUAUCUAAUGAUACUUACAUUGUUGACUGGAUUCAACCAAAGCUACUUACUUGAUUUGAGAAUGAAACUAUGUUUGUUAGUGGUAUUGCAGUGUUAGAGGUAAUUAGUUAGUGGUAUUGAAGUGUUAGAGGUUAAUUGAGUUUGGUCGCUUGUUUUAUACAAUUAACUAUGUUUGUUAAGUUUAUACAUUAAGAGUUGUGUCUUGCCUUAAGGGUAGUUAUCUUAAGAGACAUAAGUGAAGAGUUAUAACUCUUAUGGUUGUAUCGUUUAAGUCAAGUUCUGUUUCACGUCUAUAAAAGGAUGAUGUCUUUGUCUGCAACACUUAUUCAGAUUUUCUAAUAAACUUGUGUGUCUCGUGAGUAAGAGAAUCGUGUAUAUCCUUUGUUUGUGGAUCAGGUGCAAUUUGAGUAGAGUAUUCUGCAUUUCUUUUGUGAAGUGCAUUUUCGACUCUCAUGCUCUAUGACCAUGGAGUUCCAAUGAAGUAUCAAGGACCGAGGAAAGCAGAUUUGCUUGUCCGUUACUUAAAGAAGUUUGUUGAUCCAGAUGUUGCUUGCAUUAUGUGUUAUGUUAUAGACAUGGAACAUAGAAUGGUUCUUUUGUUUUAAUAGGACUUGAACGAAACGGAUGACCAUAUAUUGAAUGAUUGUACAUUUUGUUUCAAACAAAACUAAAUGUUCAUCUUGUUUACAAAGACACAAAGAAUACUUCUUAUUGUUUUUACAAUAUAUAAUGAAUGCUCUUGUUUAAGUUAUAAAAUGCUCUUGUUACAAUAAUAUAUAAUGAAUGCAAG